rnacentral:rRNA from 1 species
GCCUAACACAUGCAAGUCGAGCGGCAGCAUGCUUAGUAGCAAUACUAAGUGAUGGCGAGCGGCGGACGGGUGAGGAACACGUAGGAACCUGCCCAAGAGAGGGGGAUAACUAAGGGAAACUUUAGCUAAUACCGCAUAAUCUCUGAGGAGAAAAGUUGCCCGCAAGGGUAGCGCUUUUGGAGGGGCCUGCGUCCGAUUAGUUAGUUGGUGAGGUAAUGGCUCACCAAGACGAUGAUCGGUAACUGGUCUGAGAGGACGACCAGUCACACUCGGACUGAGACACGGCCCAGACGCCUACGGGAGGCAGCAGUGGGGAAUCUUGGACAAUGGGGGCAACCCUGAUCCAGCGAUGCCGCGUGAGUGAAGAAGGCCUUCGGGUUGUAAAGCCCUUUAGGCUGGGAAGAAGAGUGCGGGGUGAAUAAUCCUGUACUUUGACGGUACCAGCAGAAUAAGCACCGGCAAACUCUGUGCCAGCCGCCGCAGUAA